rnacentral:lncRNA from 1 species
ACCCGAUACUGUGUUGUCUUGUUUGGUGUAAAUUACUGGUUUACAUGUUUGUGUAUGAUUGGAUGAUUGAGACCAAGGAAAAGGGCAAAAAAGUUAUGUGAAUUGAUAAGUGGAUAAUAUGGACAGGCUGACUAGAUAUCCUCGGAGAUGGUGGACGGAUCGGGUCCAUAGGGAACCCUACUGGGAACGUGGUCUCUCAUACCGGACGGGGUAUGGAGAUCUUAUGUGUUUUGGCGCCCAUACCGGACGGGGUAUGGGG